rnacentral:rRNA from 1 species
UUCCUACGGGGCGCAGCAGUCGAGAAUCAUUCACAAUGGGGGAAACCCUGAUGGUGCGACGCCGCGUGAGUGAAGAAGGUCUUCGGAUUGUAAAACUCUGUUCUUGGUGAAGAUAAUGACGGUAGCCAAGGAGAAAGCUCCGGCUAACUACGUGCCAGCAGCCGCGGUAAUACGUAGGGAGCGAGCGUUGUCCGGAUUUACCGGGUGUAAAGGGUGCGCAGGCGGCUCUGCAAGUCAGGCGUGAAAGCUAGGGGCUCAACCCCUAAACUGCGCUUGAAACUGUGUAGCUUGAGUGAAGUAGAGGG